CUCCCAAACCCCUGUGAACAUACCAAUUGUUGCCUCGGCGGAUCAGCCCGCUCCCGGUAAAACGGGACGGCCCGCCAGAGGACCCCUAAACUCUGUUUCUAUAUGUAACUUCUGAGUAAAACCAUAAAUAAAUCAAAACUUUCAACAACGGAUCUCUUGGUUCUGGCAUCGAUGAAGAACGCAGCAAAAUGCGAUAAGUAAUGUGAAUUGCAGAAUUCAGUGAAUCAUCGAAUCUUUGAACGCACAUUGCGCCCGCCAGUAUUCUGGCGGGCAUGCCUGUUCGAGCGUCAUUUCAACCCUCAAGCCCUCGGGUUUGGUGUUGGGGAUCGGCGAGCCCUUGCGGCAAGCCGGCCCCGAAAUCUAGUGGCGGUCUCGCUGCAGCUUCCAUUGCGUAGUAGUAAAACCCUCGCAACUGGUACGCGGCGCGGCCAAGCCGUUAAACCCCCAACUUCUGAAUGUUGACCUCGGAUCAGGUAGGAAUACCCGCUGAACUUAAGCAUAUC
rnacentral:rRNA from 1 species